AACUUUCGACAACGGAUCUCUUGGUUCUGGCAUCGAUGAAGAACGCAGCGAAAUGCGAUAAGUAAUGUGAAUUGCAGAAUUCAGCGAAUCAUCGAAUCUUUGAACGCACAUUGCGCCUCCGGGUAUUCCUGGAGGCAUGCCUGUUCGAGCGUCGUUAAUGACCAUGAGGCUUUGCCUUGCGAUGAGCUAUUGGCGUUUUCGGACGUCAACUGCUUCAAACCCAUGGGCGUCUGAAGUUGGCCAAAGCACAGCGAAAUGUGUCCGGAAGCCGAAUGAGGAUUGCCGAUACCACGAUUUUUAGGUCGACCUCGGAUCAAGCAAGACUACCCGCUGAACUUAAGCAUAUCAAUAAGCGGAGGCU
rnacentral:misc_RNA from 1 species